rnacentral:rRNA from 1 species
CCCGUACUUGGUGUUACUGCGAAGGGGGGACGGAGAAGGCUAUGUUGGCCGGGCGACGGUUGUCCCGGUUUAAGCGUGUAGGUGUGUGUUCCAGGUAAAUCCGGUUCACUUUAACACUGAGGCGUGACGACGAGGCACUACGGUGCUGAAGCAACAAAUGCCCUGCUUCCAGGAAAAGCCUCUAAGCAUCAGGUAACACGAAAUCGUACCCCAAACCGACACAGGUGGUCAGGUAGAGAAUACCAAGGCGCUUGAGAGAACUCGGGUGAAGGAACUAGGCAAAAUGGUGCCGUAACUUCGGGAGAAGGCACGCUGACACGUAGGUGAAGUGAUUUACUCAUGGAGCUGAAGUCAGUCGAAGAUACCAGCUGGCUGCAACUGUUUAUUAAAAACACAGCACUGUGCAAACACGAAAGUGGACGUAUACGGUGUGACGCCUGCCCGGUGCCGGAAGGUUAAUUGAUGGGG